rnacentral:rRNA from 1 species
AGUGAACGCUGGCGGCAGGCCUAACACAUGCAAGUCGAGCGGCAGCGCGGGGCAACCCUGGCGGCGAGCGGCGGACGGGUGAGGAAUACAUCGGAAUCUACCCAGUCGUGGGGGAUAACGUAGGGAAACUUACGCUAAUACCGCAUACGACCUGAGGGUGAAAGCAGGGGACCGCAAGGCCUUGCGCGAUUGGAUGAGCCGAUGUCCGAUUAGCUAGUUGGUGAGGUAAAGGCUCACCAAGGCGACGAUCGGUAGCUGGUCUGAGAGGAUGAUCAGCCACACUGGAACUGAGACACGGUCCAGACUCCUACGGGAGGCAGCAGUGGGGAACUAUUGGACAAUGGGCGCAAGCCUGAUCCAGCCAUGCCGCGUGUGUGAAGAAGGCCUCGGGUUGUAAAGCACUUUUGUUGGGGAAGAAAUCUUCCGGCCUAAUACGCCGGGAGGCUGACGGUACCCAGAGAAUAAGCACCGGCUAACUUCGUGCCAGCAGCUGCGGUAAUACGAAGGGUGCAAGCGUUACUCGGAAUUACUGGGCGUAAAGCGUGCGUAGGUGGUUCGUUAAGUCUGCCGUGAAAAGCCCCCGGGCUCAACCUGGGAAUGGCGGUGGAUACUGGCGGACUAGAGUGCGGUAGAGGGUGGUGGAAUUCCCGGUGUAGCAGUGAAAUGCGUAGAAUCGGGAGGAACAUCUGUGGCGAAGGCGGCCACCUGGACCAGCACUGACACUGAGGCACGAAAGCGUGGGGAGCAAAACAGGAUUAGAUACCCU